rnacentral:misc_RNA from 1 species
GAAAUGCGAUAAGUAGUGUGAAUUGCAGAAUUCAGUGAAUCAUCGAAUCUUUGAACGCACAUUGCGCCCCUUGGUAUUGCAUGGGGCAUGCCUGUUCGAGCGUCAUUUGUACCCUCAAGCUCUGCUUGGUGUUGGGUGUUUGUCCCGUCUCCGCGCGUGGACUCGCCCCAAAGUGAUUGGCAGCCGGCGUACUGGUCCCGGAGCGCAGCACAUGUCGCGCAAACGAGUGCCUUGGUACGGCGGCGUCCAUAAGCCCCUCUCUCACGCUCUUGACCUCGGAUCAGGUAGGGAUACCCGCUGAACUUAAGC